CCGCGUGCGGGAUGAAGGCCUUCGGGCUGUAAACCGCUUUCAGCAGGAACGAAAAUGACGGUACCUGCAGAAGAAGGAGCGGCCAACUACGUGCCAGCAGCCGCGGUGACACGUAGGCUCCAAGCGUUGUCCGGAUUUAUUGGGCGUAAAGAGCUCGUAGGCGGUUUAGUAAGUNGGGUGUUAAAAU
rnacentral:rRNA from 1 species